rnacentral:rRNA from 1 species
UGGGGAAUCUUGCGCAAUGCGCGAAAGCGUGACGCAGCAACGCCGCGUGGGGGAAGAAGGCCUUCGGGUUGUAAACCCCUUUCAGUUGGGACGAAGCUCCGCCGGUGAAUAGCCGGCUGGAGUGACGGUACCUUCAGAAGAAGCCCCGGCUAACUACGUGCCAGCAGCCGCGGUAAUACGUAGGGGGCAAGCGUUGUCCGGAAUCAUUGGGCGUAAAGAGCGUGUAGGCGGCUCGGUAAGUCCGCUGUGAAAGUCCAGGGCUCAACCCUGGAAUGCCGGUGGAAACUGUCGAGCUUGAGUCCGGAAGAGGCGAGUGGAAUUCCUGGUGUAGCGGUGAAAUGCGCAGAUAUCAGGAGGAACACCAAUGGCGAAGGCAGCUCGCUGGGACGGUACUGACGCUGAGACGCGAAAGCGUGGGGAGCAAACA